rnacentral:rRNA from 1 species
GACAGAGGUCCCGAGCGUUAGGCGGAAUCACUGGGCUUAAAGCGUGUGUAGGCGGAUGCCUAAGUACCUUGUGAAAUCCCACGGCUCACCCGUGGAACUGCUUGGUAUACUGGGUGUCUUGAGCCACUUAGGGGCUACCGGAACAAAUGGUGGAGCGGUGAAAUGCGCAGAUAUCAGGAGGAACACCGAUGGCGAAGGCAGGUCUCUGGGCCACUACUGACGCUGAGAAGCGAAAGCAUGGGGAGCGAACAGG